AUACGGAGGGUCCGAGCGUUAAUCGGAAUUACUGGGCGUAAAGCGCGCGUAGGCGGCUAUAUAAGUCAGAUGUGAAAUCCCUGGGCUCAACCUAGGAGCUGCAUUUGAAACUGUAUGGCUAGAGUAUGGUAGAGGUGAGUGGAAUUUCAGGUGUAGCGGUGAAAUGCGUAGAGAUCUGAAGGAACAUCAGUGGCGAAGGCGACUCACUGGGCCAUUACUGACGCUGAGGUGCGAAAGCGUGGGUAGCAAACAGGAUUAGAAACCCCAGUAGUCC
rnacentral:rRNA from 1 species